AGAGCGCAAGGGGAAUGCCUUGGCAUCAGGAGCCGACGAAGGACGUGACAAGCUGCGAUAAGCCACGGGGAGGAGCAAAUAUCCGUUAUAUCCGUGGAUUUCCGAAUGGGGGAACCCGCUCAAGCAAUACUUGAGCAUCGUGCGUUGAAUCAAAUAGGCGUACGAAGGGAACGGCCUGAACUGAAACAUCUAAGUAGGGCCAGGAAAAGACAUCAACCGAGAUUCCGCUAGUAGUGGCGAGCGAACGCGGAGGAGGCCAAACCGAGGGACGCAAGUUCUUCGGGGUUGCGGACAGACAUCAUGACCAGAGGAAGUUAGGAGAACGGCGUGGGAAAGCCGGCCAUAGAAGGUGAGAGCCCUGUAUCUGAAAAUGAAGACUGGCAGUCUGGAUCCAGAGUACCGCGGGACACGUGAAACCCCGUGGGAAACCGGGUGGACCACCAUCCAAGCCUAAAUACUACCUGAUGACCGAUAGAGGAGCAGUACCGUGAGGGAAAGGUGAAAAGGACCCCGGGAGGGGAGUGAAAGAGAACCUGAAACCUUGUGCCUACAAGCACAUAGAGCCCGUCAAAGGGUGAUAUGGUACUUUUUGUAGAACGGUCCGGCGAGCGAUUGUACGUUGCAAGCUUAAGGUCUUAAGGACUGGAGGCGUAGCGAGAGCGAGUCUAAACAGGGCGUUUAGUAGCGUGCAAUGGGCCCGAAACCGGGUGACCUACCCAUGAUCAGGCUGAAGUGAAAGUAAAAUUUCAUGGAGGGCCGAACCGACCUCCGUUGAAAAGGCGGCGGAUGAACUGUGGGUAGCGGAGAAAUUCCAAUCGAACCCGGAGAUAGCUGGUUCUCCCCGAAAUAGUUUUAGGACUAGCCUCAAGUUAGAUACCUGGAGGUAAAGCACUGAAUAGCCUAGCGGCCGAGAGGUUAGCGAAGCUUAUCAAACUCAGAAUGCCAGAGUAUUGAUGCUUGGGAGUCAGACAGUGUCAGAUAAAUGUCAUUGUCAAAAGGGAAACAGCCCAGAUCUACAGCUAAGGUCCCAAAGUCAGGUUAAGUGGAAAACGAUGUGAAGAUACGCAGACAACCAGGAUGUUGGCUCAGAAGCAGCCACUCAUUCAAAGAGUGCGUAAUAGCUCACUGGUCGAGCGUCUUUGCGCGGAGAAUUUAACGGGGCUAAACCUGACACCGAAGCUUAGGCAAUACAGCAAUGUAUUGGGUAGGGGAGCGUUGUAUACGCGGUGAAACAGUAGCGCAAGCGGCUGUGGAGUGUAUAGAAGUGAGAAUGCCGGAAUGAGUAGCGCGAAUGCAGUGAGAAUCUGCAUGGCCGAAAGCCUCAGGUUUCUGGAGGAAGGUUCGUCCGCUCCAGGUUAGUCGGGAGCUAAGGUGAGGCCUAACGGCGUAGCCGAUGCACAGACGGUAGAGAUUCCGUCACCACCAAAAGAGUUAAGCACAGGGACACAUUUGAAGUCUCGGAGCCGGGUGUUGGUUCCGGUAGCGAUCGAGGGAAGUUAGUACCGAAGUCCGGGAUGGAAGAUGGCGAGAAAAGCUGUGUGUAUUUCUGCGGUGCCCGUACCGCAAACCGACACAGGUAGGUAGGAAGAAGAUUCUAAGGCCAACGGGAGAAGGGUUGUUAAGGAACUCGGCAAAUUGACCCCGUAACUUCGGGAGAAGGGGUGCUCCAGAGAUGGAGCCGCAGAGAAUCGGCCCAAGCAACUGUUUACCAAAAACACAGGUUUGUGCUAAAUCGAAAGAUGACGUAUACGAGCUGACGCCUGCCCGGUGCUGGAAGGUUAAGAGGAGAUGUGCAAGCAUUGAAUCGAAGCCCCAGUGAACGGCGGCCGUAACUAUAACGGUCCUAAGGUAGCGAAAUUCCUUGUCAGGUAAGUUCUGACCCGCAUGAAAGGCGUAAUGAUCUGGGCACUGUCUCAACAGCCCGCCCGGCGAAAUUGUAGUACCGGUGAAGAUGCCGGUUACCCGCGACAAGACGGAAAGACCCCAUGGAGCUUUACUGUAGCCUAAUAUUGGGUUUCGAUGUUGCAUGCACAGGAUAGAUGGGACACAGGGAAACAAGUGCUUUGGCAUUUGUGGAGUGGCCGUUGGGAUACCAUCCUUGCGAUAUUGGAAUUCUAACCUGCGCCUUUGAAUCAAGGCGGGGGACAUUGUUAGGUGGGCAGUUUGACUGGGGCGGUCGCCUCCUAAAGAGUAACGGAGGCGUUCAAAGGUUCGCUCAGCUUGAACGGAAAUCAAGCAAAAGAGUGCAAACGCAGAAGCGAGCCUAACUGCGAGACUGACGGGUCGAGCAGUAACGAAAGUUGGAGUUAGUGAUCCGGUGGUAUGUGAGUGGAAAUGCCAUCGCUCAACGGAUAAAAGUUACCCUGGGGAUAACAGGCUGAUCUCCCCCAAGAGUCCACAUCGACGGGGAGGUUUGGCACCUCGAUGUCGGCUCAUCGCAUCCUGGGGCUGAAUUCGGUCCCAAGGGUUUGGCUGUUCGCCAAUUAAAGCGGUACGCGAGCUGGGUUCAGAACGUCGUGAGACAGUUCGGUCCCUAUCUGUCGUGGGCGCAGGAUAUUUGAUGGGAGCUGUUCCUAGUACGAGAGGACCGGAGCGGACGUACCUCUGGCGCACCAGUUGUUCUGCCAAGGGCAUAGCUGGGCAACUAUGUACGGAUCGGAUAAACGCUGAAAGCAUCUAAGCGUGAAGCCGACCCAAAGAUAAGAUAUCCCAUUGU
rnacentral:rRNA from 1 species